rnacentral:rRNA from 1 species
CCUACGGGCGGCAGCAGUGGGGAAUAUUGCACAAUGGGGGAAACCCUGAUGCAGCGACGCCGCGUGAGUGAAGAAGUAUUUCGGUAUGUAAAGCUCUGUCAGCAGGGAAGAAAAUGACGGUACCUGACCAAGAAGCCACGGCUAACUACGUGCCAGCAGCCGCGGUAAUACGUAGGGGGCAAGCGUUAUCCGGAUUUACUGGGUGUAAAGGGAGCGUAGACGGCAUGGCAAGUGUGGUGUGAAAGGCUGGGGCUCAACCCCAGGACUGCACUUGAAACUGGCAGGCUUGAGUGCAGGAGAGGUAAGUGGAAUUCGUGGUGUAGCGGUGAAAUGCGUAGAUAUUAGGAGGAACACCAGUGGCGAAGGCGGCUUACUGGACUGUAACUGACGUUGAGGCUCGAAAGCGUGGGGAGCAAACAGGAUUAGAUACCCCUGUAGUC